rnacentral:lncRNA from 1 species
AACACCUCACUACCUCCUCCACCAGCCAGGCCACUGCUAUCCAGGACUCCACUGCCUGGGAUCAGCCUUCUCUACACACAUGGAGCCCCUGGGGAUAGGUCUCACCUUGCUGGUAAUGAUGCAGACCCAGGCCCAAGGCCCAAGAAGGCAUGAAGGGCUUCCUCAAGCCCUGCUGCCCAACAUACCUUUCCACAAGAUCUGUCUUCUGCCCAGCCUUGGGAAGGAGAUAGUAACUAUGAACCCUGGCCAGGCAGGCCCAGUUCCCAUGGGUAGAAACAAGAAACGGGGAGCUCAGCCCAAUGGCAUCCCGGCGCAGACUUCACAUUCCCCGGUGGCCCUCAAGACCGUCCAGGACCCUGGCAUAUGAACACUGGGUCAGCUGAGCCAGGACCUCCUCAGAGACUGGGAAGAAGGCUGUCAGAGUUGACUGACUAUGGAAGGCUCGGCUCUCAUCGCAUCCCAACUAGACCCACAAUGUCCCUGCUCACUCAGCCCCAACACAAUAAAUGCCUGUGACAGAGGAA